UAUCAAUAACCUCAGAACUAUGGAAAGAACCAUGUGUGGAGUUUGGCACCACAGAUAUUCUCUGAGUGAUUGAAGUCUCUUCUACCAUGAGGCCUUGAAAGCUCCAUGAUAGAGAUGACAGAGCUAUAAGAUGAAAGCAGCCCAAAUCCCUGAGUCACCAAUGUUUGAAGAAGAGCUUCCCAGGAGAGGUACAGUAAAAGCCUUGCCAUCACUCCCAUUAUACAGAGGAAGAAACUGAGACCUAGAGAAGUUCAGAACCUUGCUACAUCAAUCAGAAGUACAAGCCAAGGCUCAUGAAGUGGUUUCCUUAUUUUCUCACCCCAAGUUAGGAUCACCUCCGAAGGAAAUGACUUACACCCAAAUCAGGAUCUGUUUUUGAGGGAACCCAACAUAACACAUGGAGAGAUGGGUUUCCUAUGAAGAAGGAAAUAUGGGCUGUAAAAUACCACGGAGAGUCAGAGUUCAAUUUCUCAGACAUUCACUUUACCCGGAAGUCCAGCUGUGACAGCUAAUAGAUGAAACCAUCCAAUUUGCAAGUUC